UACUACUACGACUGAUGGCUAUCCUCUACCCAAAUUGAUGCGCUGGAAUUAGUAAAUCUGUUAUCUUGUUUACAAGUGUGGUGAUGCCGAUUGUAGAAAUUGGGCAAUGUGG